rnacentral:rRNA from 1 species
GAUGAACGCUGGCGGCGUGCCUAAUACAUGCAAGUCGAGCGAACGGACGAGAAGCUUGCUUCUCUGAUGUUAGCGGCGGACGGGUGAGUAACACGUGGAUAACCUACCUAUAAGACUGGGAUAACUUCGGGAAACCGGAGCUAAUACCGGAUAAUAUUUUGAACCGCAUGGUUCAAAAGUGAAAGACGGUCUUGCUGUCACUUAUAGAUGGAUCCGCGCUGCAUUAGCUAGUUGGUAAGGUAACGGCUUACCAAGGCAACGAUGCAUAGCCGACCUGAGAGGGUGAUCGGCCACACUGGAACUGAGACACGGCCCAGACUCCUACGGGAGGCAGCAGUAGGGAAUCUUCCGCAAUGGGCGAAAGCCUGACGGAGCAACGCCGCGUGAGUGAUGAAGGUCUUCGGAUCGUAAAACUCUGUUAUUAGGGAAGAACAUAUGUGUAAGUAACUGUGCACAUCUUGACGGUAUCUAAUCAGAAAGCCACGGCUAACUACGUG